rnacentral:lncRNA from 1 species
AUCAACUGCAAGACAAUAUUAAAAUUUAUGGAGCCAUUUCCUGGGCCUGCAUGCAAGAGCAGCCCUGAGAAGAGCUGAGAACAAGGGAGGGCCCUGAGCCAGCAUCACCCAGCCGGGGGCAUGACAUCACAGGAGGACCCUUUGUGACACAGGCCAGUGUCAUCUGGCAAUAGCCGGUGCUGGCACAACGGCCCCUCCAGUGUCCGUCAGGACAGAGAGGGGAUAGGACAGGAGCGAGUGGGACUGGCGAGGAGCCCCCAAGUGCAGCCCACGUCUUUCCGCACUGCCUGUGGCUGUCCCGAGCCUGCGCCCUCCUGACUCUCUCAUCACUCGCAAUGGAGGAGAGACCCCCCAGCCGCCCCAGGGUGGCCUGGGAAGCGAGUGAGAGCUCCCAGGAGAGCAGCUCUGUAUUGGAGCCCUUUGAGGUGUGCGAGGUGGAGCCGCUGCAGUCUGGUGAGUGAGGGUCUGCGCUGGGGUGCGCAGGGCUGGGGCCAGCCGCACCCCCUGCUUGAAGCCAGUGCCCCCUUCCCUUGCUUCAUCCUGAAGCCCCUCUACAGUAAUCCUUGCUCUCCUUCUGUCUUAGAUGCUAGCUGGCUACCUGUGUACGAAGAGGAAGAGGAAGCUGUGGACUUCAUCAAGGACUACAUCAAAAACCAAGAAAGAGUAAGAGCAACCCUUUCCAUGGCGGCUGUGCCUGCAUGUCCUGGCCGUGCCCCGGCUCUGCUGCCAGGCUGCUGGAGGGCUGCUGGCUGGGCAGAGCUGCUGCCCUCCAGGCGUCCCACACAGCUCCGCACCCCACAGUGCUGCGGUCCUGCUGGCUGUGGCUCCCCCCUCACGCUCCCUCUUGGUAUCUCUGUGGCUGCCAGGAUGAUGUGCAGAAGAUGAAGUUCCUGAGGAACAUCGUCACUGUGUUCACAACCGCACAAGAGAAGGGCUUAUUAGAGGGCCUGGACACCUUCUGCCGUGAAAAUAAGCUGACAGCGAACAUCCAGGCGCUGUUGGAAGAGAAGCCUAUUGAUUACCCGUGCACAGACUUGUGGGAGGAAGCCUUACUUGCUACUUCUGCCUUGAGGUAUGUGCCCAACCCCAUCCGUGGCUUGGCUAGCACAACCCCAGGGCACGAGCCAGGUGACCCUGACCCUGGCAAGCACACAUCC